UAUUUAUAGGGGAAGCAAAGGGGUUGAAGUGGGUGAAAGAAAAGGUCCUUUGGGUAAAAAACAGAGUAAUUUCUGCUGUCUGCGCAGGUGUAAUCGGUUACCCUGAUUAGUGUAACCGGUUACACAGUCCCAAAAUGGCCAAAAAGUCAGUUUUUGGUCUGUGUAACCGGUUACCCAGUUAUUUUAUUUUAUUUUUAAAUUAUUUUUUUUUUUAAAU
rnacentral:lncRNA from 1 species